rnacentral:rRNA from 1 species
UACGUAGGGUGCGAGCGUUGUCCGGAAUUAUUGGGCGUAAAGGGCUCGUAGGCGGUUUGUCGCGUCGGGAGUGAAAACCCAGGGCUUAACUCUGGGCUUGCUUUCGAUACGGGCAGACUAGAGGUAUGCAGGGGAGAACGGAAUUCCUGGUGUAGCGGUGAAAUGCGCAGAUAUCAGGAGGAACACCGGUGGCGAAGGCGGUUCUCGUGGG